rnacentral:lncRNA from 1 species
UCCCAUUGAUUGAAACUUUAUCUCAAAUACUAAACUAUGCAAAAUUUCUGAAGGAGAUCUUAGCAAAAAAGAGAAUGCUUACAGAUUUUGAGACCAUCAAGUUAAAUGAAGAAUGUAGUGCCAUCUUGCAGAAUAAAUUACCUCCUAAAUUACAAGAUCCAGGGAGUCUCAAAAUACCUUGGUCAAUAGAAAAAGAUUUAAAUUUUAAUUGCUUAUGUGAUUCUGGAGCAAGUAUUAACCUAAUGCCUUCUUCUGUAUACAGAAACUUAGGUUUGGAAGAGCUGAAAGACACAUCCAUCUCCCUUCAAUUGGCGGACAAAUCCAUCAAAUACCGAAGUGGAGUAGUUCAGAACGUGUUCAUUAAAGUGGGCAAAUUCAUAUUCCUAGUUGAUUUCGUUAUCCUAGAUAUAGAGGAGCCAUGGAAUGUAGCAUUACUUAUCUUCGGCAGAUCUUUUCUAUCAACAGGCCGAGCUAUUAUGGACUUUGAAAGUGGCGAACUAACAUUGAGGGUAGAAGAUAAGCAAGAAAAGUUCAAGAUCUACAACACUAUCGAGAAUCCAUUACAAGAAGAGUUCAGCAAAAAGGUUAAGGAGGAGUGCAAUUAUAUUGCUGCAUAGGUGCAACAACGCUCAAAGGAGACAAAGCCUAAAAACUUAGGAAGCCUGGGACGAGAAAGGAAUGGAGGGUUCAAGGUUUGGAAGGCAAAACGAGGAUGCAAAGUCGGAAAUUGCAAGGAGUGCAAAAACUCAAGAUAUAUGUUUAAACCACCCCGAUCAAUUCCUUCGUACAAUCUCGCUAAAGACUAUAAAUUAAGCGCUUAUUGGGAGGCAACCCAAUCUUCUAACUCUUUUAGUUAUUUUUCUUUCUGCAUCGCAUAGCACAU